GGAAACAACAGCAAACUAACAGCAAGUGCGGGAAUCCUGGAUAUGCAGUUGGUUUAAGUGUUCAUGUUCUAGUGAACACGGGCUUGUUCUGGAACAAACACUAAGACGAUUUGAGUAGAGUCUGCUGGUCACCUUUGUGACCUGAGGAAUUCCAGGCCUGUUGGGAAAGCUCACAUUCACCUUGUAGCACAUGACGCCAGAAAUAGCACUGAAUCAGCAAACUAGCCAUUGGGGGCUCCCGUCUUGUGUCCACACCACUCGAUUCUCCACUGUGAUUCUGGUUCAGGAACCUUACUGGUCUGUUUGUUUUUGCUUUUAAAUAUAAGAAAAGAGCAGGUCUGCUCAGUCCAGAGAUCAAAUCCUGAAUCCAGAUUCCCAGUCAUGAGGGCUCAUCACUCACUUCCUCAGCCCAUAGGCCAGCAACCAC
rnacentral:lncRNA from 1 species